GAUGAACGCUAGCGGCAGGCUUAACACAUGCAAGUCGAGGGGUAUAGGUUUUCGGACCUAGAGACCGGCGCACGGGUGCGUAACGCGUAUGCAAUCUACCUUUCACAGAGGGAUAGCCCAGAGAAAUUUGGAUUAAUACCUCAUAGUAUAGCAGUUUCGCAUGAAACCACUAUUAAAGUAUCAACGGUGAAAGAUGAGCAUGCGUCCCAUUAGCUAGAUGGUAAGGUAACGGCUUACCAUGGCUACGAUGGGUAGGGGUCCUGAGAGGGAGAUCCCCCACACGGGUACUGAGACACGGACCAGACUCCUACGGGGGGCAGCAGUGAGGAAUAUUGGUCAAUGGACGCAAGUCUGAACCAGCCAUGCCGCGUGCAGGAUGACGGUCCUAUGGAUUGUAAACUGCUUUUGUACGAGAAGAAACAACAUUACGUGUAAUGUCUUGACGGUAUCGUAAGAAUAAGGAUCGGCUAACUCCGUGCCAGCCGCCGCCGUAAAAC
rnacentral:rRNA from 1 species